UGGGGAAUCGUGGUCAAUGGGCGAAAGCCUGAACCUGCGACGCCGCGUGAGUGAUGAAGGUCGUAAGAUCGUAAAACUCUUUUCAGGGAUCUUAAAGCCUGUCUGUCAACAACAGGCAGGUCUGACUCUCCCUGGAAGAAGCCCCAGCCAACUACGUGCCAGCAGCUGCGGUAAUACGUAGGGGGCGAGCGUUAUUCGGAAUUACUGGGUGUAAAGGGUAUGUAGGCGGCCCUUCAAGUCGCGUGUCAAAGUCCAGUGCUCAACGCUGGGUGUGCGCGCGAUACUGACGGGCUUGAGGGCUGGAGAGGAGAGCGGAAUUCCCAAUGUAGCGGUGAAAUGCGUAGAUAUUGGGAGGAACACCGGUGGCGAAGGCGGCUCUCUGGACUGUCACUGACGCUGAUGCACGAAAGCGUGGGGAUCGAACA
rnacentral:rRNA from 1 species